UACGUAGGGUCCAAGCGUUAUUCGGAAUUACUGGGCGUAAAGCGUACGUAGGCGGUUUGAUAAGUUGGAUGUGAAAUCCUGUGGCUCAACCAUAUGGACUGUGUCCAAAACUAUCAGACUAGAGCAUAGUAGAGGCAAGUGGAAUUUGCGGUGUAGGAGUGACAUCCGUAGAUAUCGCAAGGAACACCAAUGGCAAAGGCAGCUUGCUGGGCUAUUGCUGACGCUCAGGUACGAAAGCGUGGGGAGCGAACGGGAUUAGAUACCCCGGUAGUCCACGCCGUAAACGAUGAUCACUAGCAGUAUGGAGAUUCGACCCUCUGUGUUGCAAAGCUAACGCGUUAAGUGAUCCGCCUGGGGAGUACGGGCGCAAGCUUAA
rnacentral:rRNA from 1 species